rnacentral:lncRNA from 1 species
AAUCCCCAGAAGCACUGAGUGACGAAGCAUGGUACCAGUCAGACUCUCUGUGUCCAUUCCUCUCUUGCAGCAACUGGGGAUUGUGGGUAAAGAAAGCUUUUCAUGGACCACUGACUCAGGACAAGCAAACCCUUCAUGAUAUAGAAUUCAGAGGCUGGAUCUUUUGGAAACACAUCAGAGAAAGACUCCCCUUGUCACCCACACUGCAGCGAAACUUCAGGACCCUGAAGCUUGGGUUUGUAAUCUCACAACUUAGAAAGGCCCACCCAGACUCUUGGAACCACACACCCAUCAGAGGGAGAACUUAAGGUAAAGCUAAUGAGGUCUAAUCAAUGGUGCUCUAACUACAGAACAGCGAAUCUUAACCUGGGGACCAUGGGUCAUGAAUGGACUGCAGAAAUUCUGUGACCUCCUGGUAAUUUAUACAAAAUUUGUAUGUAUGCAUUAGGUUGAAUAAUACAUUUUGGCCUGGCAUGGUAGUUCAUGCCUGUGAUCUCAGCAUUUUGGGAGGCCAAGCUGGAGGAUUGCUCAAGCCCAGAAGC